CGUGAGCAACCUGCCUUUAAGAGGGGGAUAACGUUUGGAAACGAACGCUAAUACCGCAUAACAUAGAAGAUUCGCAUGUUUCUUCUAUCAAAGAUUUAUCGCUUAAAGAUGGGCUCGCGUCUGAUUAGCUGGUUGGUGAGGUAACGGCUCACCAAGGCGACGAUCAGUAGCCGUACUGAGAGGUAGAACGGCCACAUUGGGACUGAGACACGGCCCAGACCCCUACGGGAGGCAGCAGUGGGGAAUAUUGCACAAUGGAGGGAACUCUGAUGCAGCGAUGCCGCGUGAGGGAAGAAGGUUUUAGGAUUGUAAACCUCUGUCUUCAGGGACGAUAAUGACGGUACCUGAGGAGGAAGCUCCGGCUAACUACGUGCCAGCAGCCGCGG
rnacentral:rRNA from 1 species